UUUUUUUUUUUUUUUUUUUUUUUUUUUUUAGACAGAGUCUUGCUCUGUAGCCAAGGCUGGAGUGCAGUGGCACAAUCUCAGCUCACUGCAACCUCCACCUCCCAGGUUCAAGCAAUUCCCCUGCCUCGGCCUCCAAAGUAGCUGGGAUUACAGGCACAUGCCAUCAUGCCUGGCUAAUUUUUUGUAUUUUUAGUAGAGAUGGAGUUUCACCAUAUUGGUCCGGCUGGUCUCGAACUCCUGACCUCAUGAUCUGCCCUUGUUGGACUCCCAAAGUGCUGGGAUUACAAGCAUGAACCACCAUGCCCAGCCCGAUGCAGACAAACUUUAGCCAGAGAUACCAGUUAAGUGAUAGUGAAUUGCAUACUUCACUUUUUUUUCAUUUUUUCAGAUAGGGUAGGAAGGUGUAUACUUCACUUUUAAGCACUCAUCCUAAGAAGAUUUAGGAAACCAAGCAAAUCCAUGGCAAAUUGAAGGCAGAUAAUAAAUUUGAAGAUUUUCACCAGUGAAGUGUUUAAUGACUUACCCUGUUACUCAUAUUGUGAGUGCCGGCUCUAAGCACUGUUCCUUUCUCAACAAGGAGGCACUGAAGCAUUUUCUUAUACCACAUCACAUGUUUGUAUGCUCUAUCCCCACUACGGUAGUCACAGCUGGUUGAGUCAGAUUUACACCCGGAAGAAAAGUAGCCAUGGAUAUCCUGGGUGAACUGGCUCUGGGUUCUGACCACCGACAGGUGCCCUUUAUUGUAUAAUGUCUGUCUAACAGAUCCUCUCACAGUGUCUGAGCAUAAGACAUCAAUAGAGACUUGCAGAAAACACAAUGGCAAAGAAGCCAAGAUGCACAAAGAGUAAAGCUCGUAGAAGCUGUGAGUAAGAAGAAACCUGGAGAUGCUGAGGAAAGCAGAGAGGCCAGUCAGAAGCAGCAGGAAAGAAAGAUGCUGAGCCAGAGAAGAGCUGAGUUCUGUGGGUGGGGCAGCCAAUGUCCUCUGGACAGGUGCUCCUGAGUUUCCAGGACUAUUGUCUCACAAGUAGAGCCCUUCAUGUCACCUAUGCAGUGUUCUGAUACCAAGAAGCUGGCUGUUUGGCUGCUUAGAUUUUUUUUUUCCUGCUCUUAUUUUCUGUGUCUCUAAAAAGACCAAAUUCGAAUUAAUUGAGAUAACUUGUGUAAUCUCUUGCAAACUGAAGAAAACUGACACAUCUCACUGAGUGAGAUAGCAGCAUUGCUUCAUAGUUAAUAAUGAAAACAGAUCAAGCACAGUGUCUCAUGCCAAUAAUCUUAGCAC
rnacentral:lncRNA from 1 species